rnacentral:rRNA from 1 species
CCUACGUGGGGCAGCAGUGAGGAAUAUUGGUCAAUGGGCGAGAGCCUGAACCAGCCAAGUCGCGUGAAGGAUGACGGCCCUACGGGUUGUAAACUUCUUUUGUCAGGGAGCAAUUGGGUCCACGCGUGGGCGUAGCGAGAGUACCUGAAGAAAAAGCAUCGGCUAACUCCGUGCCAGCAGGCGCGGUAAUACGGAGGAUGCGAGCGUUAUCCGGAUUUAGUGGGUUUAAAGGGUGCGUAGGCGGAAUAUCAAGUCAGCGGUAAAAAUUCGGGGCUCAACCCCGUCGUGCCGUUGAAACUGAUGUUCUUGAGUGGGCGAGACGUAUGCGGAAUGCGUGGUGUAGCGGUGAAAUGCAUAGAUAUCACGCAGAACUCCGAUUGCGAAGGCAGCAUACCGGCGCCCAACUGACGCUGAAGCACGAAAGCGUGGGUAUCGAACAGGAUUAGAUACCCUUGUAGUC